AAUUAAAUAGUUUAAAUAAAACAAUAAUUUUGUAAAUUAUAGAUUACUAAAGAUAUAGAGUUAUUUAAUUU
rnacentral:tRNA from 1 species